UACGUAGGGGGCGAGCGUUGUCCGGAAUCAUUGGGCGUAAAGAGCGUGUAGGCGGUUCGGUAAGUCUGCCGUGAAAUCCCUCGGCUCAACUGAGGAACUGCCUUUGAAACUGUCUGGCUUGAGGCCGGGAGAGGGUAGCGGAAUUCCCAGUGUAGCGGUGAAAUGCGUAGAUAUUGGGAGGAACACCAGUGGCGAAGGCGGCUACCUGGACCGGUUCUGACGCUGAGGCGCGAAAGCGUGGGUAGCAAACAGG
rnacentral:rRNA from 1 species